rnacentral:lncRNA from 1 species
CUCGUGGGACGCAUCCCGAUUUCGCGAUCUCUACGAGAGGGAAACGUGCAAGGCAUGGGUUCCUUACCUUGCGACUACGUACCAUGGUAUACGCAACUUUAUCUCAGAAAGGUUGCUCUCGUGAUUUUUGCCAUGGCGCUUCCGUUAGCUGCUAACAAAAUGGACACUAAUUUGAACCAAGCCGGUUGUGGCGAAUUGGGGUCAAAUGGAAGGAUAUACAACGGCAAGCCGAUCUCCAACGAGAAGAUGCCUUGGAUAGU